UGGCGGCAUGCCUAACGACAUGCAAGUCGAACGGAGUAAUGACUUCGGUAUACUAGUGGCGAACGGGUGAGUAACACGUGAAUAAUCUGGCCCUGUACGAUGGGAUAACAGCUGGAAACGGCUGCUAAUACCGUAUAUGACCACGCCGAGGCAUCUCGGAGGGGUGAAAAGCGCUUAAGCGGUACAGGAUGAGUUCGCGUCCAAUUAGCUAGUUGGUGAGGUAACGGCCCACCAAGGCGACGAUUGGUAGCCGACCUGAGAGGGUGAUCGGCCACACUGGAACUGAGACACGGUCCAGACUCCUACGGGAGGCAGCAGUGGGGAAUAUUGGGCAAUGGAGGAAACUCUUUAACCCCCAGCAAUGCCGCGUGAGUGAUGAAGGUCUUCGGAUUGUAAAGCUCUUUGAUUGGGGACGAAUAAAUGACGGUACCCAAGGAACAAGCCCCGGCUAACUAUGUGCCAGCAGCGGC
rnacentral:rRNA from 1 species